rnacentral:rRNA from 1 species
UCGUACCUACUACAUGGAUAACUGUAGUAAUUCUAGAGCUAAUACAUGCCACUAUGCCCUGACCCGCGAGGGGACGGGUGGAUUUAUUAGAACAGAACCAACCGGUUGUGGCUUCGGCUGCUUCCGUUGCACUCUGUGAUGACUCUGGAUAACUUCACUGAUCGCAGUCGGCCUUGUGUCGGCGACGGAUCUUUCAAAUGUCUGCCCUAUCAAUUUUCGAUGGUAGGUGACCUGCCUACCAUGGUGAUAACGGGUAACGGGGAAUCAGGGUUCGAUUCCGGAGAGGGAGCCUGAGAAAUGGCUACCA